rnacentral:tRNA from 1 species
GGAGGGAUGGCCGAGCGGCUUAAGGCACAGGUUUGCUAAACCUGCGUAGGCUGUAAAGCUUACCGAGGGUUCGAAUCCCUCUCCCUCCGCCA